rnacentral:rRNA from 1 species
AGCAGCCGCGGUAAUUCCAGCCCCAAUAGCGUAUAUUAAAGUUGUUGCAGUUAAAAAGCUCGUAGUUGAAUUUCGGGGUUAGUAGGUUGGUCAUGCCUCUGGUAUGUACUGGUCUCACUGAUUCCUCCUUCCUGAUGAGCCGUAAUGCCAUUAAUUUGGUGUUGCGGGGAAUUUGGACUGUUACUUUGAAAAAUUAGAGUGUUUAAAGCAAGCUAACGCUUGAAUACAUUAGCAUGGAAUAAUGAAAUAGGACGUUCGAUCCUAUUUUGUUGGUUUCUAGGAUUGACGUAAUGAUUAAUAGGGAUAGUUGGGGCAUUAGUAUUCAAUUGUCAGAGGUGAAAUUCUUGGAUUUAUUGAAGACUAACUACUGCGAAAGCAUUUGCCAAGGAUGUUUUCAUUAAUCAAGAACGAAAGUUAGGGGAUCGAAGACGAUCAGAUACCGUCGUAGUCUUAACCAUAAACUAUAGCCGACUAGGGAUCGGAUGAUGUUAAUUUUAAUGACUCAUUCGCGCC